UGACUUGAUAGGCACUCGCAGCAUCAGGCCCGCUUCGCAUGAGCCCAGCUGCACCAAUGACAUGAGAGGCAACAAAGUCAUCAACAUUCAGAUCAGAGGGGUUGUACACGUCCCCAGUACUCUCAAUGAAAUUUUGCAGUGCACAUAGAACUGUUGCAACAUUWGCAGCGAAGGUGGGGUUGAAGAGCCUGCUGUUUUUGAGGAUUGGGAAACGCUUCUUGAGCCUGCCAAAUGCACAUUCAACC
rnacentral:lncRNA from 1 species